rnacentral:rRNA from 1 species
AGUGAACGCUGGCGGUAGGCCUAACACAUGCAAGUCGAACGGCAGCACAGUAAGAGCUUGCUCUUACGGGUGGCGAGUGGCGGACGGGUGAGUAAUACAUCGGAAUCUACUUUUUCGUGGGGGAUAACGUAGGGAAACUUACGCUAAUACCGCAUACGACCUACGGGUGAAAGCAGAGGAUCUUCGGACCUUGCGCGAUUGAAUGAGCCGAUGUCGGAUUAGCUAGUUGGCGGGGUAAAGGCCCACCAAGGCGACGAUCCGUAGCUGGUCUGAGAGGAUGAUCAGCCACACUGGAACUGAGACACGGUCCAGACUCCUACGGGAGGCAGCAGUGGGGAAUAUUGGACAAUGGGCGCAAGCCUGAUCCAGCCAUACCGCGUGGGUGAAGAAGGCCUUCGGGUUGUAAAGCCCUUUUGUUGGGAAAGAAAAGCAGCAGGUUAAUACCCCGCUGUUCUGACGGUACCCAAAGAAUAAGCACCGGCUAACUUCGUG